rnacentral:rRNA from 1 species
AGACGGGGCCCGCACAAGCAGCGGAGCAUGUGGUUUAAUUCGAAGCAACGCGAAGAACCUUACCAAGGCUUGACAUCCACUUAAACGCAUGGAAACAUGCGGUCUCUUCGGAGGAAGUGAGACAGGUGGUGCAUGGUUGUCGUCAGCUCGUGUCGUGAGAUGUUGGGUUAAGUCCCGCAACGAGCGCAACCCCUAUUGCCAGUUACCAGCGAGUAAUGUCGGGGACUCUGGUGAGACUGCCGGGGACAACUCGGAGGAAGUGGGAUGACGUCAAAUCAUCAUGCCCCUUAUGUCUUGGGCUACACACGUGCUACAAUGGCUGAAACAAAGGGAUGCAACAACGUAAGUUGAAGCGGAUCUCACAAAAACAGUCCCAGUUCGGAUUGCAGUCUGCAACUCGACUGCAUGAAGCCGGAGUUGCUAGUAACCGCAGGUCAGCAAUACUGCGGUGAAUACGUUCCCGGGUCUU